GGGGGGAGCGCCAGAUCCUGGGCUGUGUCCCCCGGCGCCCUGGGCUCUGGGGCCUAUGCUGCUUGAAUCGUGCUCCAGGGUGUUGCAGCUUCCG
rnacentral:pre_miRNA from 1 species